rnacentral:rRNA from 1 species
GACGAACGCUGGCGGCGUGCUUAACACAUGCAAGUCGAACGGAAAGGCCCUGCUUUUGUGGGGUGCUCGAGUGGCGAACGGGUGAGUAACACGUGAGUAACCUGCCCUUGACGUUGGGAUAACUUCAGGAAACUGGGGCUAAUACCGGAUAGGAGCUCCUGCUGCAUGGUGGGGGUUGGAAAGUUUCGGCGGUUGGGGAUGGACUCGCGGCUUAUCAGCUUGUUGGUGGGGUAGUGGCUUACCAAGGCUUUGACGGGUAGCCGGCCUGAGAGGGUGACCGGCCACAUUGCGACUGAGAUACGGCCCAGCCUCCUCCGGGAGGCAGCGGUGGAGAAUAUUGCACAAUGGGCGGAAGCCAGAUGCAGCAACGCCGCGUGCGGUAUGACGGCCUUCGGGUUGUAAACCGCUUUCGCCUGUGACGAAGCGUGAGUGACGGUAAUGGGUAAAGAAGCACCGGCUAACUACGUG